rnacentral:rRNA from 1 species
CCUACGGGAGGCAGCAGUGGGGGAUAUUGCACAAUGGGGGCAACCCUGAUGCAGCGACGCCGCGUGAGCGAUGGAGUACUUCGGUAUGUAAAGCUCUGUCAGCAGGGAAGAGAAUGACGGUACCUGACCAAGAAGCCCCGGCUAAAUACGUGCCAGCAGCCGCGGUAAUACGUAUGGGGCAAGCGUUAGCCGGUUUUACUGGGUGUAAAGGGAGCGGAGGCGGCAGGGCAAGGCUGGUGCGUAAGCCCGGGGCUCAACCCCGGGACUGCAUUGGGAACUGCCCCGCUCGAGUGCCGGAGGGGCAGGCGGAAUGCCUGGUGUAGCGGUGAAAUGCGUAGAUAUCAGGAGGAACACCGGUGGCGAAGGCGGCCUGCUGGACUGCAACUGACGUUGAGGCCCGAAAGCGUGGGGAGCAAACAGGAUUAGAUACCCCGGUAGUC